rnacentral:rRNA from 1 species
GAUGAACGCUGGCGGCGUGCCUAAUACAUGCAAGUCGAGCGAACAGACGAGGAGCUUGCUCCUCUGACGUUAGCGGCGGACGGGUGAGUAACACGUGGAUAACCUACCUAUAAGACUGGGAUAACUUCGGGAAACCGGAGCUAAUACCGGAUAAUAUAUUGAACCGCAUGGUUCAAUAGUGAAAGACGGUUUUGCUGUCACUUAUAGAUGGAUCCUCGCCGCAUUAGCUAGUUGGUAAGGUAACGGCUUACCAAGGCAACGAUGCGUAGCCGACCUGAGAGGGUGAUCGGCCACACUGGAACUGAGACACGGUCCAGACUCCUACGGGAGGCAGCAGUAGGGAAUCUUCCGCAAUGGGCGAAAGCCUGACGGAGCAACGCCGCGUGAGUGAUGAAGGUCUUCGGAUCGUAAAACUCUGUUAUUAGGGAAGAACAAAUGUGUAAGUAACUAUGCACGUCUUGACGGUACCUAAUCAGAAGGCCACGGCUAACUACGUG